GUAGGGAAUCUUCGGCAAUGGGGGCAACCCUGACCGAGCAACGCCGCGUGAGUGAAGAAGGUUUUCGGAUCGUAAAACUCUGUUGGUAGAGAAGAACGUUGGUGAGAGUGGAAAGCUCAUCAAGUGACGGUAACUACCCAGAAAGGGACGGCUAACUACGUGCCAGCAGCCGCGGUAAUACGUAGGUCCCGAGCGUUGUCCGGAUUUAUUGGGCGUAAAGCGAGCGCAGGUGGUUUAUUAAGUCUGGUGUAAAAGGCAGUGGCUCAACCAUUGUAUGCAUUGGAAACUGGUAGACUUGAGUGCAGGAGAGGAGAGUGGAAUUCCAUGUGUAGCGGUGAAAUGCGUAGAUAUAUGGAGGAACACCGGUGGCGAAAGCGGCUCUCUGGCCUGUAACUGACACUGAGGCUCGAAAGCGUGGGGAGCAAACAGGAUUAGAAACCCUAGUAGUCC
rnacentral:rRNA from 1 species